rnacentral:rRNA from 1 species
GGGGAAUAUUGCACAAUGGGCGAAAGCCUGAUGCAGCGACGCCGCGUGAGGGAUGACGGCCUUCGGGUUGUAAACCUCUUUCAGUAGGGAACAAGGCUACACGUUGUGUGGUUGAGGGUACUUGCAGAAGAAGCACCGGCUAACUACGUGCCAGCAGCCGCGGUAAUACGUAGGGUGCAAGCGUUAUCCGGAAUUAUUGGGCGUAAAGAGCUCGUAGGCGGUUUGUCGCGUCUGCCGUGAAAGUCCGGGGCUCAACCCCGGAUCUGCGGUGGGUACGGGCAGACUAGAGUGAUGUAGGGGAGACUGGAAUUCCUGGUGUAGCGGUGAAAUGCGCAGAUAUCAGGAGGAACACCGAUGGCGAAGGCAGGUCUCUGGGCAUUAACUGACGCUGAGGAGCGAAAGCAUGGGGAGCGA